ensembl:lncRNA
CUGUAAGGUAACAAUUGCAGGUUAAAACCAGUGAAUGAUUUAACAUCAUGAAGUCCAUCGUUGCAAGUAAAUGGUUAAAAUGCACGUAUAGUGACAAUUAUUAGCGAAUCUCUUCAGACAAUACAGUAUGGUGGCGAUUAACCUAUAUUAUCACAGCCUUUUGCUUUAUUAAACAUCCUGUGCGUCACUCCCUCUUCCACGCAGAUCUUUCUGCAGAAGCCCUUCCAGUUCUUGGAAGGAGAGAAAGGUGCUGUGAUUUUUAUUUUUAUUUUUUCGUGGUCGUACGUCGUUUUCUAAUAAAUUGCGAACUUAAUGCUUAAUUUAUUCUCUCGUAGCUGGCUACGGACUAUAUAAACAUCAUGGGUGACGGCAAAUGCGAGUUAAUAUCCGGGCACAGUUUCGCAUUGGCAAAAACAUCGACCGCUGGAGCACUGAAACUUUAGAGAAAAACUGUGGUUUGAACUGAGAAUCGGCUAACGUCUGGAGACUCCACAGAGCUUCAUUCAGAACAUGUGAACUCACCCUCGUGGAUGUUUAACGGGAUUCUUUAAGGAUCGAGAUCAUCUCGUCCGCUCCUCUCGCGCAGAAGCUCGUCUGAAUCAACGUCACGCGUCUAUCAAUGUCGUGUGCUUUUUAAUUUUUUAAUUUUGUUUAUUUUUUUAUUUUAUUUUUGUCGCGCUCAGUGUUUUUUUUUUUGAAAUACUCAAAGGAUUUAAUCGGACAUAAACAUUUCCAGUUGCAUGAGGACCAACAUCGUUCUUUCUUAACUAACAGCGGAAAGAUAAAUCUGCCUCUAAAUGGCUUGCCAGCUGGACGGUUGUCAGUCAGGUAGUCCCUUCCUGUCUAAAAGAGCGCCUGAAGCAAUGCCAACUCGAUGCUUUUAUCUAUCUGUCCGCUCACUGUGUGAAAUGUCUGGUCUAUUGAUUUAUGACCUGAAUGUAAACAGAGUGUGCUGUGGAGCGCUGCCCUCCCCGCGUGCAGCUGAGCAAAAGCAGCGAUGUGUUCUGG